rnacentral:rRNA from 1 species
GAUGAACGCUGGCGGCGUGCUUAACACAUGCAAGUCGAACGGAGUGGCGAACGGGUGAGUAACACGUGGGUGACCUGCCCUGCACUUCGGGAUAAGCCUGGGAAACUGGGUCUAAUACCGGAUAGUGUGGGAUGGGCCCGCGGCCUAUCAGCUUGUUGGUGGGGUAAGGUCCUACCAAGGCGGCGACGGGUAGCCGGCCUGGGAGGGUGGACGGCCACAAUGGGACUGAGACACGGUCCAGACGACUACGGGGGGCAGCAGGCGUGAAUAUUGCACAAUGGGGCGAAGCCUAAUGCAGUGACGCCGCGUGGGGAAUGACGGCCUUCGGGUUGUAAACUCGUUGCACCAUCGACGCGGUAGAUGGAGAAGAAGCACCGGCUAACUACGUGCCAGCAGCCGCGGUAAUUC